AAUACCAUACCCGAAUAAUAAUUAAAUAAUAAGGCUUAUUGGACGAAAAACCUUAUUGAAAUUUUUAGGAAAUUUUAGAAAUUUCCUGAGAUUUAAUCGGAGCUUGUAUGACAUAUUUAGAGGGGAUGCGUUAAUUGGGCUGCGAGAAAGCUUCGUUGGAAUACCUAAAAAUAGGAGUUGAUUAAGGAAAAACUUAGAGUUUGAUUAAGCUAACCCUAAGUUUAUAUUAUAUAUAAUUAUCCUAAUCCUUCUCCUCUUUUAUUUCUUUGCCCGAACCUGCCUCUUCCCCGACACCUUCUUCCCCUCUUCGUCCGCCGCACACCUCCGCCCUCCUCUGCGCGCCGUCGCCCGACCAAGCCAGCGCCGGUUCUCUUCUCCGACGAGUCACAACCGCUGAGCCACCAGCGCCGAUCCUCCUCUUCCCCGAGCCAUCUCGCGCCGACGCCCGACCAAGCCAGCGCCGGUCCUCUUCUCUUCCUUCUCCCUCAUGCUAACAACAGCGUGCGAUCUUCUUCCCCUCCUCGCGCGAGCAGCAAAACCACCGAUCCUCAUCUCUUCGAGCUGUGCCCUAAUUGAUGUGGCAAGUAUCUUCCUUAGAAGUGGCAGAUAGGACCGCUAGGUAGCAGUAGAUGAUUCAUGGAUGCUUGGAGAGAUGUCGACUGCCAGUCCUGGGUCCUACAACUCACUUGAGGAUAGUUUUCUGUUUGGUUUUGUUAUUAUUUGGGUGGUAUGUUGAUUCUGUGAAUUUUUCUUUUCAAUAAGUCGAUGUGAAUUUUGGAGUCAAGUCUAGUGAUUGCAGGUAUUUUUGUUAGUGUCGUUGUUGGUCUUUUGUUCGUAUUGUUUUGUGUUUUCCGCUGCUUUUACGAUGUUAUGUGUUUACUUUCAGCCUUGUAGGUUUAUUAAAUUGCGUGAUUGUGUUUAUUUUGUUCCA